AGCGAACGCUGGCGGCAGGCCUAACACAUGCAAGUCGAACGAUCCUUCGGGAUAGUGGCGGACGGGUGAGUAACACGUGGGAACGUGCCCUUUGGUUCGGAACAACUCAGGGAAACUUGAGCUAAUACCGAAUGUGCCCUUCGGGGGAAAGAUUUAUCGCCAUUGGAGCGGCCCGCGUCUGAUUAGGUAGUUGGUGAGGUAAAGGCUCACCAAGCCUACGAUCAGUAGCUGGUCUGAGAGGAUGAUCAGCCACAUUGGGACUGAGACACGGCCCAAACUCCUACGGGAGGCAGCAGUGGGGAAUCUUGCGCAAUGGGCGAAAGCCUGACGCAGCCAUGCCGCGUGAAUGAUGAAGGUCUUAGGAUUGUAAAAUUCUUUCACCGGGGACGAUAAUGACGGUACCCGGAGAAGAAGCCCCGGCUAACUUCGUGCCAGCAGCCGCGGUAAUACGAAGGGGGCUAGCGUUGCUCGGAAUUACUGGGCGUAAAGGGCGCGUAGGCGGACAGUUUAGUCAGAGGUGAAAGCCCAGGGCUCAACCUUGGAAUUGCCUUUGAUACUGGCUGUCUUGAGUACGGAAGAGGUGUGUGGAACUCCGAGUGUAGAGGUGAAAUUCGUAGAUAUUCGGAAGAACACCAGUGGCGAAGGCGACACACUGGUCCGUUACUGACGCUGAGGCGCGAAAGCGUGGGGAGCAAACAGGAUUAGAUACCCUGGUAGUCCACGCCGUAAACGAUGAGUGCUAGUUGUCGGCAUGCAUGCAUGUCGGUGACGCAGCUAACGCAUUAAGCACUCCGCCUGGGGAGUACGGUCGCAAGAUUAAAACUCAAAGGAAUUGACGGGGCCCGCACAAGCGGUGGAGCAUGUGGUUUAAUUCGAAGCAACGCGCAGAACCUUACCACCUUUUGACAUGCCUGGACCGCUGCAGAGAUGCAGUUUUCC
rnacentral:rRNA from 1 species